GGGGCCUUGUCCCAGCUUGAUGCUAUUAGGACUCAGCUUCAGUCUAGACCCUCUGCAUCCAGUGAGCCAGAGUUUGUCCAGCCCAUUGCUUUUCAUCCUCUAUCAUCUUCCUCUUGAACUAAAUCUUUCAGUCGAGGAUGAGGCUGAUCAUAUUUCACCGAUCUUGAUCUUAAGCUCGAUGCCCAUUCUCACUGAUUUCAUCAUUUUGUAUUAGGUUACUUAGUUGUAUUUUGUAGAUUGGAUGUAUGAA
rnacentral:lncRNA from 1 species